CAAGAUCCUCUCAAUUUCCAUUCCCAUUUCGACAUUUCCCAAAUUGCCUCCAGACUCGAAACCUAGCGUCUAGUGAAGUGGCCACCUGGUUCUCCCCCAUCGCCGUCCCUGUUUGCGAUUUGUGCAACGCAGCACCGCUAACCCCAAGCCGUAGCAGCUUGCUGUGCUUGCUAGUUGCUACUGCUGCUCACUCUUUGCUCGCUGCGUCUCUCCUUCUCCGUCAUCAUCACUACAGAUCCAGAUAUAUUAUCAAUUUAUCACUUUGAAAUGGAGGAGCAAGGUUCCAUUUCAAGUCAAAGGGGCUCAAUGACUCCCCAAUUGGGUUAUGUAAUGGACUUUCCUUCUGCCGUUCUGCGGUUCUGCCUAUUCGCACUUGCAUUUUGCUGAAAAGUGCAGCAGCAUGCAUGAACCAGCAAGCCACAGGCUUUCAAGGCUUAGUGUAAUGGACUUUAUUAGUUUAUUGUUUGAUAUUAUAUUAUGGAUUUUAGUUGUUGCUUUACAGUUUUCUUUUUUCAUUGUAUUGUUUAUAGCUUAAUAGUUUAUACUUGAUUUCAGCUCCUCGGUUUUAAUUUGUAGAUUGUUUUAAAGUUAUUCUUAUUUGGAAUUUAGUAUUCUCAUGA